AGCAUUUUCUAGGAACAGGUCAGUCUCUCCCUACUCCCAACACUCUCAGCCAUCCGAGGGGAGGGGGUUCUAUAUUAGGGGGGUUUCAGUGCAUUAUAUUGUGGAGUGGGGGGUUUUAGUACAUUAUUAUAUUGGGGUCUGCGCCGUAUAGGGGGGUCUGCACUAUAUAUGGGGGUCUGCGCUAUAUAUGGGGUCUGCGCUGUAUGGGGGUCUGCGCUAUAUAUGGGGUCUGCGCUGUAUGGGGGUCUGCGGCACAAUAUGGGGUGUCUCUUUGUAUAUGGGGGUCGCCCGUAUGGGGGGGUCUUCGCUGUAUAUGGGGGUCUGCGUAGUAUAUGGGGGGGCUGCGCAGUAUAUUGGGGGGUCUGUGAAAUAUAUUGGGGUGGCCUGUGUGUGUUAAAUGUGGGGGGCAGUGUGUUAGAUGGAGGGGCUGUUUGUUACAUGUGGGCGUGCAGUGUAUUAUAUUUGGGGGCUGUGCGUUAGAUGGGGAGCUGUACAGUACGUGUGGCCUGUGUGUUAGAUGUGUACAACCCUAGUUUCACAGAAAAAUAUUUAUUUCCUAGAUAUCAUAUGCCAUGGCAUGCUUUUUGCUAUGAAACCGCAGCCAUCUAGUCACUCGCCAGAGAAGGAUGAGAAACUGCACCCCAGCGAGAGGGACAGCCCCACAUCUACAACCAAAUCCGUCGGUCACUGAAUUCAGUAAUCUCCGUCUCUUUGUGCAUUGUGUAUGUAUGGUACUCCCAAUUCUUAUAUUUAAUCCGGUGUGUCUCCCACAAUCUUUGUAUCUGUCUGCUGUAUGUAUGUGGCACGCAAGUCUGCAUGCACUGUGUCUGUUAUGCCAGUUACUCUAACCAGUUUAUUUCUUUUUGUGUGUGUCACAGCUCUGACAAGCAUGUUCUCCUAUGGGACACGAAGUACAUGAAGAGGAAUGAAGAAGCC
rnacentral:lncRNA from 1 species